rnacentral:rRNA from 1 species
AACGAACGCUGGCGGCAUGCCUAACACAUGCAAGUCGAACGAGACCUUCGGGUCUAGUGGCGCACGGGUGCGUAACGCGUGGGAACCUGCCCUUAGGUUCGGAAUAACUCCCCGAAAGGGGUGCUAAUACCGGAUAAUGUCUUCGGACCAAAGAUUUAUCGCCUUUGGAUGGGCCCGCGUUGGAUUAGCUAGUUGGUAGGGUAAAAGCCUACCAAGGCGACGAUCCAUAGCUGGUCUGAGAGGAUGAUCAGCCACACUGGGACUGAGACACGGCCCAGACUCCUACGGGAGGCAGCAGUGGGGAAUAUUGGACAAUGGGCGAAAGCCUGAUCCAGCAAUGCCGCGUGAGUGAUGAAGGCCUUAGGGUGGUAAAGCUCUUUUACCCGGGAUGAUAAUGACAGUACCGGGAGAAUAAGCUCCGGCUAACUCCGU